rnacentral:ncRNA from 1 species
ACCAGCCUCCGAGCGUGGCCGCUCUAAGACGCCGUUCGAACAUCGGCGUUAAGGGCCCGCGCCGAUGGGUUGCGCCGGAAACGGCGCGGCCUCCCGGAUUUGGAAAGGAGCGCUGGG